rnacentral:rRNA from 1 species
AUCUACCCUGGGGUGGGGAAUAACGUUUCGAAAGGAACGCUAAUGCCGACAUGUGCAGGGCUCUCGCAAGAGGGGCCUGGAAAGCCGGUCCGUUGGGAUUGGCGCCCGAGGAUGAGCUCACGUCCUAUCAGCUAGUUGGCGGGGUAAUGGCCCACCAAGGCUGCGACGGGUCGCUGGUCUGAGAGGACGACCAGCCACACUGGCACUGCGACACGGGCCAG